GACGAACCGUGUAAACGUUGUUCGGAAUCACUGGGCUUAAAGGGCGCGUAGGCGGGCAAGCAAGUCCGGGGUGAAAUCUUUCGGCUCAACCGGAAAAGUGCCUUGGAUACUGCUUGUCUGGAGGGAGGUAGGGGCAUGUGGAACUUCUGGUGGAGCAGUGAAAUGCGUUGAUAUCAGAAGGAACGCCGGUGGCGAAAGCGACGUGCUGGACCUCUUCUGACGCUGAGGCGCGAAAGCUAGGGGAGCAAACGGG
rnacentral:rRNA from 1 species